rfam:Lepisosteus oculatus linkage group LG22, whole genome shotgun sequence.
UUCAGCAGCCAUAUCACCCUGCAACUCACAACUGGCAACCCACUGAAGCUAAGCAGGUGUGAGGCUGGUCAGUAUCUGGAUGGGAGAACUCCUGGGAAAAACUAAGGUUGCUGCUGGAA